rnacentral:misc_RNA from 1 species
ACCGAUGACGGCGACUACAACAUCAAGAUGCGCAACAUCCGCCGCUUCCUGGCGGAGGGCGACAAGUGCAAGAUCACCCUGCGGUUCCGUGGUCGCGAGAUCACCCACCAGGAACUCGGUCUGGCCUUGCUCAAUCGCAUCCGCGAUGACCUGGGUGAUUCGAUCCUCGUCGAGCAGUUUCCCAAGCUCGAAGGCCGCCAGAUGAUCAUGAUGAUCGCGCCUGGCCGCAAGAAGCCUGCUUCCAAGCCCGCGGGCGAAGCGGCUGGCUCUGCGACUCCGGCGGUUUGAGUGAUGGGGUAGGGCGGGCCGA